AAGAUGUGGCUAAAUUGUAAAAAAGGUGUUGAGGCGGUGAGUGAAUUGAACCUGUCGAGACUUGUGAAGAUGGGGCUCAUGGCCCACCCAUAUCGAACCACGUGGCAUUUCAGUCGAGACCCCUAAGCCAAUGAAGAUUGACCAACACCAGCAAACAUCUCCUAUGACGUGGCCUAGAUUCUGUAUGCCGAAGUGCAGUAAUUGAGGUGGUACCAAAGCCAAAGCCUAGGACAACUAGCAUCGCUUCUCCCCAGAGAUCCGAUCUUUCACAAAAAUUCUCCUUGAAUGAUUGAUGGGACACCCACAAUAGAGUGCAAGUGUCUUGUCUUGUUAAAGUAGCGACGGCUCUGCCAAUUAAUAAAUGCAUAGCAGGCUAGGUGGUCAAACUUGAUACCAACAAUUUGAC
rnacentral:lncRNA from 1 species